rnacentral:rRNA from 1 species
GAGCUCGCGUCUGAUUAGCUAGUUGGUGAGGUAAGAGCUCACCAAGGCAGCGAUCAGUAGCUGGUCUGAGAGGAUGACCAGCCACACUGGGACUGAGACACGGCCCAGACUCCUACGGGAGGCAGCAGUGGGGAAUUUUCCGCAAUGGGCGAAAGCCUGACGGAGCAAGACCGCGUGAGGGANGAAGGCUCUUGGGUCGUAAACCUCUUUUNUCNNGGAAGAAAAAAAUGACGGUACCUGAAGAAUCAGCCUCGGCUAACUCCGUGCCAGCAGCCGCGGUAAUACGGAGGAGGCAAGCGUUNUCCGGAAUUAUUGGGCGUAAAGCGUCC